GGGGGGAUAUACUUUUCAAAGAAACCAGUAAAAAGCCUCUUCCUCAAUCUCUAUGACCUGCCUUCUUUUUCCAGUGCUGCCUCUCACAGUUUUCCAGGUGUAUUCCACAUUGUCUCUACUAGUGAACUAGGAUAAUCCAUUGUGUAUCUCAACCUCCUUCACUACCCUGUGAAAGUCACAUGUGAGAAGAAGCAUCACAGAUGAUUCCAUGGAGAACAUCCUGGAAGUUCUCCAAAUGAACUGGAAAUUCCCUGUCUCCCCUUAACCAGCACUGGAAGCAGAUGGGAAGAGAAUAGCUGUGACUGACUCACACUCUAACCCAGCAACCCUCAGCAUACAAGUGGGAGACCAUAAAGUUUUUCAAGACCCCAAAAGAGGCCAAAGGUCUGAUAAUUGCUGGGAGAAGGUCCACUAUCCAAGAAGAGAAGAGGAAAAGGAAUUAAAGUCUCCAAGCACUGGGGAUGCAAGAAGAGAGUUGCACAGGAGAGAAAGAAGAAGUUGUCCACGGGGUGACCCUGCAAUUGGAGGGAAAUGCAUGUGGAUAUGUGCAGGGAGUCUAGGAAGUGAAGCCUUAGUGAUCAUUUACAAGAAUGAGGGUUAGGUAAAAUAAGGGAUGCAAAGCCACCUGUAGUCUAUUCUAACCUCACUCCAUCACUCUAUACAAUCUGUGUUUUAUCAUCUGAAAUGUUAAGUAAAGACCUGUUUGGGUCUUCUUCAGAAUCCCAUACAUUUGAGUUCAUUAGUCAGAAAAAGGGAAAAUACCACCACCCCAUCCUGGAAUGGCAGUCAUGUACACUUUUAUAAUGAGAGAUUGGGCAGCAAAGGGGGCCCCUUGUGGACCUCACCCAGCCAGAGAAGGAGGCAGAAUGUUUCCUUUACUAUCUUUUCCUCUCCCCAGAGGAACACUACAUAUUGUUCCCUCCAUGGGCUUAAGAGAAGGUGCCAGGGUUACAGAUAGAUAUAUCGCUAGCUGUAGAGCACAGGGUGAAUUGGGAUGUCCAUGUACAAAGCUAGGGACAGGAGAAUCAGUUUAAAGACUUUAAAAAUAAUUAGGAAAAAAAGGAAGGCCUGACCCAAAGCUUAGGAGUGCAGGUAGAGAAGAGAUGGUGCCAUGAUAUACCAUGUCUCUGGGACUUUUCUGUAUUCCUCUUCCUCUGUAUACUGUAUUGCCCUCAUUCCCUAUUUAUUCAAAAUCUGUGCUACCUCCACUGCGAAGACUUCCACGAGAAAAUUCAGAUAUUUCUUCUUUUGUGGACACUUUCUACCUUACAAAUAAGUUAAUUUUAAUUCAAGGAAGAGUUUUUCCGGAACCCUGUUGGCCUGCUCACAGGAAUGUAAGUUCCUUAAAUCUAGGGCACAGUGUCUUUGAGAACUGCAAUCACCUACAUCAACAUGACAUAGCUAUUAGGACUAAGAACAGAGACCACCUGUGUCAACAUGAGUUACUAUUUUUUUCCGUGAAACAUUUGUCCAAGAAAGAUAAGACUGUAACCAAUAAAUAGUUUGCA
rnacentral:lncRNA from 1 species